AGCCAUGUGGUGAGUACAGAGUGAGCCAUUCUUUCGCAUUUUACUAGAGAAUACCAUGUGCUCGCCAUAGAUAGUGGCAUAAGCCAAUUUUUGGAGAUGUUAUCUUCAAGGAAAAAC
rfam:Morus notabilis contig24178, whole genome shotgun sequence.